UGGGGAAUUUUGGACAAUGGGGGCAACCCUGAUCCAGCCAUUCCGCGUGAGUGAAGAAGGCCUUCGGGUUGUAAAGCUCUUUCAGCAGGAACGAAACGGUGGCUACUAAUACUAGCUACUAAUGACGGUACCUGAAGAAGAAGCACCGGCUAACUACGUGCCAGCAGCCGCGGUAAUACGUAGGGUGCGAGCGUUAAUCGGAAUUACUGGGCGUAAAGCGUGCGCAGGCGGUUCCAUAAGACAGAUGUGAAAUCCCCGGGCUUAACCUGGGAACUGCGUUUGUGACUGUGGGACUUGAGUGUGGCAGAGGGGGGUGGAAUUCCACGUGUAGCAGUGAAAUGCGUAGAGAUGUGGAGGAACACCGAUGGCGAAGGCAGCCCCCUGGGUCAACACUGACGCUCAUGCACGAAAGCGUGGGGAGCAAACAGG
rnacentral:rRNA from 1 species